UGGUAGUGGGGGAUAACGUUCGGAAACGGACGCUAAUACCGCAUACGUCCUACGGGAGAAAGCAGGGGACCUUCGGGCCUUGCGCUAUCAGAUGAGCCUAGGUCGGAUUAGCUAGUUGGUGAGGUAAUGGCUCACCAAGGCGACGAUCCGUAACUGGUCUGAGAGGAUGAUCAGUCACACUGGAACUGAGACACGGUCCAGACUCCUACGGGAGGCAGCAGUGGGGAAUAUUGGACAAUGGGCGAAAGCCUGAUCCAGCCAUGCCGCGUGUGUGAAGAAGGUCUUCGGAUUGUAAAGCACUUUAAGUUGGGAGGAAGGGUUGUAGAUUAAUACUCUGCAAUUUUGACGUUACCGACAGAAUAAGCACCGGCUAACUCUGUGCCAGCAGCCGCGGUAAUACAGAGGGUGCAAGCGUUAAUCGGAAUUACUGGGCGUAAAGCGCGCGUAGGUGGUUUGUUAAGUUGGAUGUGAAAUCCCCGGGCUCAACCUGGGAACUGCAUUCAAAACUGACUGACUAGAGUAUGGUAGAGGGUGGUGGAAUUUC
rnacentral:rRNA from 1 species